AAAGCAGGCUGCAAUUACAGUGCUUCAUUCUGUGGGAGUACUGCCAUUUUCCUGCU
rfam:Cathartes aura contig201356, whole genome shotgun sequence.